rnacentral:lncRNA from 1 species
CGGAUGAAUCUUGUCUGUCUUUAAAAGCUGCUAUUGAUUUUUGUGCUGUAUGUGCUGAUCUGACAAAAUGUUCCCCAAGUAAAUGCAAUCUGAGCUCCUCGAGAGAGGCUUCUGAGAGAAAUCAAAUCAAACAAAAUUGGAACUUGGGCAGUCCAUGCAAUCCCCUGUAAUACCUCAGUCUUUAUGAUAUUAUAAUGGAUCAGAAGGAGAGCCUGAGCUGGAAAGUUAAACAGAGACCAACAAAAGACUUUUGAGUGCAGCUACGUGCACGAGAUGUGGAAGGAUGGAGGUGACCUCAGAAGACGGAGAGGGAAGCUGUGGCCAUGCAGAAACGCAGCAGUGAAAGCCAGAGCAUCCUGGGAGAAGACCCUGCCAGAAGCCCCCUGACUGCCCUUGCCAGACCCAAAUGCACAGGAGUAAAGGGAAAUCAGGCUCCAUGCAAUUUGUACUGCAACCAGAGCAGUGUCAUGUUUAGCUUAGCCUCCGGUCCCUACUGAUAUAAAUCUGCAAAGGAAACAACUGUCUACAAGACAAAGGAGGCUGAAAUCAUUGCUCUCUGUCUGGGAAGUGCAGGCUGGCACUUGCAAAGCUCUUUCUGCCCAAGGUCUUUCCAGAAAGUUAAGCUGUGCUGGAAAGGUUAAUGAGGGGCCACAAAAGGGGCUUUCUCCUGCUUCUCAGCAUGCUCUACACUGACGUGGAUGAGGUGAAUGCUCACAUACAUUGCUGGUGCAGAAGGCUUCCAGGUCGGCAGCAUUCUUGGAGAUGCUUUGGGCCAGGUUUUGCUGCUGCGUUGGGCUUUUCAUGCUGACCUUCUUCUUCAGCAGCCUCACGAUGUAAUCUUUCACCAAACGGACGUGGAUCUUCUCAACGACGGGCUGUUGGGAAGGAGAGUGGGAUCAUCCAUCUGUCAUUUGCUUGGCACUGAGGGAUGUGGUUAGUGGGUGAGGUGGGAAUGGGCUGAUAGAUGGACUAGACGGUCUUAGUGGUCUUUUACAAUUGUAGUGAUUCCAUGAUGUGUGUGGAUGAAGGACAAAGACACCUCAAGUGCUACAAAGUGUGUCCCUCCAAGUGUCUGCUGCUGCUCAAACAUGAAGAGCCGUGCUGGCUGCCAACCUCCCUGCAACCUGCAACGGGACAUCCUACAUACCGAGAAUGUCUUUGUACUUCAAUUAAUGAGGUGUGGGAAUUUCCAAAUGUUGCUUCCUUCUGGGAAGACUUCAAUGCUUAGAAAACAUCUCCAAGUGUUAGAUAAGAGGUAGAGGUACUCCAGAGAAACAGGAACUCACCCGCCUCCUCCUGUUCCUCUCUCUAAUACACAAAACUUCAUAAUUUCUUUUAAUUACUAAGAAGACAAAGGCAGGAAAUCAAAGAUUUCAUACGGUAGUGUUUCACAUAUACUCCUGCACCACUGAGCAUGUGGUUGUGGCUAUUUCUCUUUGACUUACGUGGUAAAAUGGGUCCUUCAGGGUCCGUAACUCUGAAAUAUGAUUGCUGGUCGUUUUAAUGAUCUCAUUCAUAAUUUCAUUGCUGCAUUCCCACUUAUUUUCUGUAAAUUUCUUAUAAAUUGGCUUCAGCUGGGCAAAGAGCUGCUGAAGCAGGACAUCCUCACUGCUGGUCUCAAUGUCCCUAAGGGUGCUAAGUAUCCUCUCUUUGUUGUCAUCCUUUUCUGCUAUGUUCUUCUCUGUGUAGUCUCUGAAAGGAAAUAAAAGGUCAGAAUAACCUGUCCC